CAUCACUGGUAGAAUUUUCCUGGAUCUCAGGUGUUUUUACAAGAAGCCUAUGCCAUCAAAUUCCAUCAAUAUUUACAAAUCAACCGGACUUGCGCGUUCUUCAAACAUAUGGGAAACCAGCAAAUUGCAGCUUUCUUCGAAGUGUUGGGUUAUGCCAUACGAGAAAGGGUGCAUCAUCGUCCCAAUAAUACAUCAUGAUCUAUAGGCCUGCAGAAGCUUCACUUCUUCGGUAUUUAUUCGGAGGGGCUAUCUUUCCACCGAAGACUUCAUCGAUUCAGUGCAGUGCUUUAUUUUCUAUGCGUUUAAUGAGCGAUACAUGAGGGGGAAAAAAAUACUACGUUAAAGUCCAAGAA